UACGUAGGGUGCGAGCGUUAAUCGGAAUUACUGGGCGUAAAGCGUGCGCAGGCGGUUGUGCAAGACAGAUGUGAAAUCCCCGGGCUUAACCUGGGAAUUGCAUUUGUGACCGCACGGCUAGAGUGUGUCAGAGGGGGGUAGAAUUCCACGUGUAGCAGUGAAAUGCGUAGAUAUCUGGAGGAACACCGGUGGCGAAGGCGGCAUCCUGGACCGACAUUGACGCUGAGGCGCGAAAGCCAGGGGAGCAAACGGG
rnacentral:rRNA from 1 species